rnacentral:rRNA from 1 species
AGGGAAUCUUGCACAAUGGGCGAAAGCCUGAUGCAGCGACGCCGCGUGCGGGAUGAAGGCCCUCGGGUUGUAAACCGCUUUCAGUAGGGACGAAAGUGACGGUACCUACAGAAGAAGCCCCGGCCAAAUACGUGCCAGCAGCCGCGGUGAUACGUAUGGGGCAAGCGUUGUCCGGAUUUACUGGGCGUAAAGAGCUCGUAGGCGGUUAUGUAAGUCGAUAAGUGAAAUCUCCAGGCUCAACCUGGAGCGGCCUUACGAUACUACAUUGACUUGAGUACGGUAGAGGAGUGUGGAAUUUCUGGUGUAGCGGUGAAAUGCGCAGAUAUCAGAAGGAACACCUAUGGCGAAGGCAGCACUCUGGGCCGAAACUGACGCUGAGGAGCGAAAGCGUGGGGAGCGAAC